UACGUAGGGGGCAAGCGUUGUCCGGAUUUAUUGGGCGUAAAGAGCGUGUAGGCGGCCUGACAGGUCUGCUGUGAAAACUCGAGGCUCAACCUCGAGAUGUCGGCGGAAACCGUCUGGCUAGAGUCCGGAAGAGGAGAGUGGAAUUCCUGGUGUAGCGGUGAAAUGCGCAGAUAUCAGGAAGAACACCUAUGGCGAAGGCAGCUCUCUGGGACGGUACUGACGCUGAGACGCGAAAGCGUGGGUAGCAAACAGG
rnacentral:rRNA from 1 species